rnacentral:pre_miRNA from 1 species
GGGGAAGCGCCGGAUCUUGCGCUAUGUCCCCCGGCACCCUGGGCUCCUGGGCCUGCGCUGCUGGAAUUGCGCUCCCAGCCUCGCAACUCCCA